ACAGUACACAGGCGGAUGAAAGAACUCAAUCUAUCUUUAAGGGCCUUAUACAGUAGUUGCAGUGACAAUGAAUUGGAUUAUUUGAUCACAGAAAUUAAAAACACAAUGCCAGAUGCUGGUUAUCGUGUUGUCCGAGGUGCUCUCCUUGCACAGGGACACAAAAUACAAUGGGAUAGGUUGCAUGCGUCCAUGCAUCGCGUAGAUAGUGUUGGUGUGUUCUCCAGGCUGACUGGUCUUGGAUGUGUGGUCAGAAGAACAUACAAUGUUCCUUAUCCAAAGUAUUUGGUGCACAUUGACACCAAUCACAAGCUAAUCAGGUACAACUUUGUCAUCUUUGGGGGAAUAGAUGGCUACUCAAGGAAGGUUAUGUAUCUAAAGGUAGCAGACAAUAACCGCUCUGACACACACUUGGCCUUUUUCACUGAAGCUGUCAAUGAGCAUGGUUUCCCUCUGAGGUAUUCACAUUUCAAUUGUCAUCCUUAGUAUUAUUGCAGAGGUCAUCAUAGAAUUUAGAUGUUCAGAUAUUAGUUUAAACGUAACAUAUCUUCUUAACAUCAUCGCCAAUAUGGAGCUAUUCUUGUGUUUGUAAUAUUUGCACUACAUAACUUUCAAAACUGUAUGAGGCAAUUUACAUGUUAUAUUUUCAGAGUGAGAGGAGAUCA